rnacentral:rRNA from 1 species
GGUACCGUCAGCGGUUUACAGGAUUACCGUAAACCGGGUUCUUCCCGCCAGACAGAGCUUUACGACCCGAAAGCCUUCUUCACCCACGCGGCGUUGCUGCGUCAGGGUUGCCCCCAUUGCGCAAAAUUCCUCA